rnacentral:lncRNA from 1 species
CCCCAAAGGUGAUGGUAGUCGUAGGUGAGGCCUGUCGGAGGUGAUUAGGUCAUGAGGGUGGAACCCUCAUGAGUGAGAUUAGUGCUUUAUGAAAGAGAGCCCACAGAGCUCCCCAGCCCCUUCUGCCAUGUGAGAGGACAACCAGAAGUCAGCUACUCAGAAGGGGGCCCUCACUCAACCGUGCCGGCAGCCUGAUCUCAGACUUCCAGCCUCCAGGACUGGCUGUAAUAGCUAAAACAAGACCUGGGAGUUGCCGAUGAUUAGAUGGGGAAACCAAGGCCAAGAACGUUAUAUGAUUUGCUCAGAGACAGUAUGUGGCAAACCUAGAUUUGAACUCUGGUGGUGUCUGUGAUCUUAACCACUUUAUGGAGUAUCUUCCCACGGAGCAAGGAUGUUCAGUUUGGCAGAACUCGAGCACAGGAAGAACCACAAAGGACUUUAUUUAUCUUUUCCCUGGGCUCACAGCAAUCACUACACGCGAAUAUGUUUAUUUAUCAGAAUAAUAAAUGAGGGGUUCUGCAGCUCUGUUUUAGAUUCACAUGCAAGGUUCUCAGUAUCUUCAAAGAAGGGCCUUUCAAAGACUCUAAAACUGCAAACUCAGUUGCUUUUUAUCUUUUUCUGCUCUCUACAUAUAUAUGAGUUUGGGCAGGCAGAAUUUUCACUAACCAAAAUCAAAGGGAGAGACAUUUUUUAAAAACCCCCAAAACAAAAAACAUCCAGAUAGUUCAAGCAGGAUGAAGAGCUGGAGAUUGAGCCCUGUCCUUAGAAAGAAAAAUAUGGGAGUAAAGUAUUCUUGGAAGUCUAUCACCAUCCAAGAAUCCUACAUUUUUGGAGAAAGCCAACAGUUUUAUUGUUAGGUAAUGGAGAAUCUAAACUUUCUCUCCACCUGGGGAACACUCCCCUGAAUAAAUGGAGCUCAGUCUACAGUCAGAGACCAACUAAAUGAAGGAGCCAUUUUUUGUGUGUGGGAAGAAGAUUGUCCCUGAGCUAACAUCUGUGGCAAUCUUCCUUUGUUUUGUAUGUGGGACACUGUCACAGCAUGGCUUGAUGAGUGGUGCGUGUGUCUGCGCCUGGGAUCUGAACCUGCGAACCCUGGGCCACCAAAGUGGAGUGAGUGAACUUAACCACUAUGCCACCAGGCUGGCCCCAAGUGCCGUCUUUUAAUAGUUGAUGCACGUGAUGCUGAACAGCCCCAGUGGACAGAAAAAAGCCGAGAAGGAAAAUUGGUUGAUUUCAAGAAAGACAUGGAAUCACCUUCUGGGCUGACCUGAGUUGUUUGAGAUGAUGAGUGGCUAUAGAGGUGACAAAACUUUAUUGGCCUGAAAGAAAUAUAGAGAAAAUAAAUAAGCUUUAUUUGCUUCUUAGUGAAAAAAAAAAUGUGGGCUGUGAAUUUCCUUGCUAAGAUUGGGGCAUGUAGCCUGCUGUCAGUUUCCUGAAUAUAUCACCUACUGAGAAGCAGACUACAGAGCCGUUUUAAACUGUGUCUCUAAAUAAUCCCAAAUGGAGGGACCAAGAAAUCAAGACAGGAAAGGAAAGAUCCUUUUCUGACACUUUUGAUAUCAGUUUCUUCUUACUUCAUCCUCGUCUCCCUCCUACUCCCAAAUUAAUCCUUUGCUUUUAUUACUCUUCCUUGCAUAUCUGACCAUCUUGGACAGGGUCUAUUCUACUCAGAAAUAGUCUUAGCAUUAAGCCUUGUCACUUGGUAGGGAACUAAGGGCAUCACAUCUGAGCAGUUUAACUUUUUUUUAUUUAAGCACUACAAAACUCCAUGGGACCCUUCUAUUAGUACCAAGUAGGGUUUGUAAUGCCCAGGCUGUAAUAAUUCACGAAAUUUGCUGGCAAAGUGAAGAUGACAUCCUUCAUCUGUGUGAGAACUUAAACACUAAAAUAAGAUGAUUUAAUUUCAUAUUAUUCUUGGACUUUCUUCUCCAAGGUUGUUUAAUGUAUUCCAAAUAAGUAUGAGAAAAAUUUUAAAGUGCAUUUUUCUGU